GGGAUAUGACGUUCUUCGGGGACACGGUGCUUUAGCGGUUGCCUUCCCUGUCCGACAUGAGAGCUAAGUGGCGAAAGAAGCGCAUGCGCAGGCUGAAGCGCAAAAGGAGAAAGAUGAGGCAGAGGUCCAAGUAAAAUGUGUCUCUGUCUCGGCUGUGACGUCGUCCAUUGCCAUCAACUUGGCCGACGAGCACAGCUGGAGACCCAGGACCAUCCCAGUGUGGAGUCUGAGACCAGUGGCGUCCGAGUCAACCUGAUGCAGCGCAGCGCAGCGCAGCAGCAGCUGUUUGAUGCCACCAAGCUGAUCCAAGACCCGCAAUGUGUCAGACUUUUUCUCUGGGACAUUCUGGACUCUUUGUUCCUCAACUUUUGUCAUUUGUUUUUUUGUUUAUACUGUGAUUAAAGGUUUUGGUUUAAAAGAAAAUGUGUUUCUUUUGGUUUGACUUCAGGGGUCUCGGAGUGUUCAGGCUCUCUUUGUUGCUGUUCUGAUUGUUGCGCACAGUACAGUUGAUAAACAACCUGCAUGGGUUGCAGUUUUAAAUGAUAAGUGGAGUAGUGGGAAAAUGUAAUUGAAUGCGUCUCAGUUUUCAUCUACAGCCUAUGACUAGGGUAGGUGUGUUGUCUCUCAGCUCACUGCAAUGCUCCUAGAUUUUAAGCUUUAAAGACAUCCAUGUAGUCCUUGGCAAUCAUAAGUGACAACAUUGGAACAUUCCCUUUUUUAUAAUGUCAGAAAGGAAAUUGUAUCUAGGUAUUUAAUGUUUAUGCUUCCAUAAAUUGCAGAACAUAGUAAAAUAUGUCUGACAAAGGCACUUAUGGAACAAGAAAACUAAGCAAUGUUAAUGUGUUAUGGUGAACUGCAGAUGUGUCCAUACACGGAAAUGUUCUCUGUAUGUGGAGGUAUGAUCUUGUUUUUCACACAAACUUUGCAGCACUUUAAAGCAGUACUGGAAGAAAACGCCGUUCAUUUGUGUAAAUAUUCCUAGUAGGUGGUGCUGUUCUCACAGUUACGGAUAUACCCAAAAACGUUUGCUUAAAAUAACAUUGAAGCUGCAGUAUCUGCCUUCCCAGGGCUUCUCAGCAUUUUACAUAUACAAUAUUUGUAGAAUAGUUAUUACAAAAAAGGUUUUUUCAGAGAUUUCUUCAUGCUUUUCUUAGUGACUUAAAAAUAUUUGCUUUAUUGAUUGUAAAUCCAAGUAAACAAAUAUGUUAUUAUGCAAAGUCAAACUGACAUCUGACUAACACAAGGUCAAGUUUCAACUGCAAGUGGACUUGCUUCAUCACUUUUUUCAUAAUAUCACAGAUAAGAGUCAUUUCGCUAUCGCCACUUCUUCCCUCGACUAAACUUUUGUUUUCACAAGUUAAGUUUCAUGCUUUUACUGUUUCUGUUAAGAUUUCAUUAUAAAUGACAGUACAUUUGUAAAAGAAUGACAGCUGUUUAAAAUUGUUGGACUACACAGUAAUAUAACAUAUAGCAUAACCCCACAUGUCAAAAUGUAGUCUGUCACUAAGUCAUAGAGACAGAAUGGUGAAAGCAUAGAUGAAACAACAGAUGUUUUAAGUGUGGGCCGAUGAAUGAAUUUGCCUUUGGUUUCUUUGCAUGUUAGUCUUUACGAAGCCUGUGCUCCAGGCCUGUUACACAUUGUGGCUUCGCUGUAGUAUGAUCUGGUUAUUGUUGCUUGACUAGGUGCAUUUUUUUCUCCAUGUAACUGUUUACAUAAAGGAUGAUUAAACUGAGCAAAUAGA